CUUGAGGCGUGGCUUCCGGAGCUAACGCGUUAAGUCGACCGCCUGGGGAGUACGGCCGCAAGGUUAAAACUCAAAUGAAUUGACGGGGGCCCGCACAAGCGGUGGAGCAUGUGGUUUAAUUCGAUGCAACGCGAAGAACCUUACCUACUCUUGACAUCCACGGAAUUCUGCAGAGAUGCCUUAGUGCCUUCGGGAACCGUGAGACAGGUGCUGCAUGGCUGUCGUCAGCUCGUGUUGUGAAAUGUUGGGUUAAGUCCCGCAACGAGCGCAACCCUUAUCCUUUGUUGCCAGCGAUACGGUCGGGAACUCAAAGGAGACUGCCGGUGAUAAACCGGAGGAAGGUGGGGAUGACGUCAAGUCAUCAUGGCCCUUACGAGUAGGGCUACACACGUGCUACAAUGGCGCAUACAAAGAGAAGCGACCUCGCGAGAGCAAGCGGACCUCACAAAGUGCGUCGUAGUCCGGAUCGGAGUCUGCAACUCGACUCCGUGAAGUCGGAAUCGCUAGUAAUCGUGGAUCAGAAUGCCACGGUGAAUACGUUCCCGGGCCUUGUACACACCGCCCGUCACACCAUGGGAGUGGGUUGCAAAAGAAGUAGGUAGCUUAACCUUCGGGAGGGCGCUUACCACUUUGUGAUUCAUGACUGGGGUGAAGUC
rnacentral:rRNA from 1 species